GUAAGUUAUUGGUUUUAAAGGGCUUGCGCUGACUUUUAAUCAGAGGGUCCAGGGUUCAAAUCCCUGCGGGAUCACCA
rnacentral:tRNA from 1 species